UCUCCGUUGGUGAACCAGCGGAGGGAUCAUUACCGAGUUUUCAACUCCCAAACCCUUAUGUGAACCUACCUAUCGUUGCUUCGGCGGACUCGCCCCAGCCGGACGCGGACUGGACCAGCGGCCGCCGGGGACCAUCAAACUCUUGUAUUAUCAGCAUCUUCUGAAUACGCCGCAAGGCAACACAAAUAAAUUAAAACUUUCAACAACGGAUCUCUUGGCUCUG
rnacentral:misc_RNA from 1 species